AGCAGUGUGGUUUAGUGGAUAGAACAAGAGACUGGGAGUUAGAAGAACCUGGGUUCUAACCCCAGCUUUGCCA
rnacentral:tRNA from 1 species